GUAUUAGAGACACGCCGCUUCACUUCAUCUUCCCCCUAACCCCUCCAAUCCCAUAAAAUCCACCACAUCCUACAGAGCUUCUCUGCAAGCCGGAAUCGGCGAAAAAAGUGUGUGAAAAUCCGACCCCGGUGAUUAACGGCCGUCGUGCGAAUUGUAACCUAGCGUCACUCGGUGCUUGCCGUCAGAGAACGUUAACCGUUGUUCCGCAGUCGUCAACACCGCCACCACACCGCCAAUCCGUUAGGAGCUAAUGUGAUCGUAGGUCUGAGAUCUUGAUCUGCCGGAGCGGUUACACCACCGCCUGUAAGUCACGUGCAAUGGUACUAUCCACCAACGCCACCGCCGGCGUCACCGUACCACCACCAGGCAACAUUGCCGUACUACGGUUAUGCUCCGGCUGCUUACGUGGCAACAACGGAUGUCAGUUACAAUCACUUUUGUCCAAAAUAAGAUCAUUUGGGAAGAAUGAUGAUGGAAGGGAAAAUCAGUCAGAUGGUUCAGAUUCAAAUGCUUGCAGCUACUCCUGAUAUCAUGAGGAAACUUACUAAUUAGUGGAGAGAGUGUUGAUUGGAUUAAUAUGCUACAUGAGCUCCAACAUUUUCUACAUGAUCAUGGAUCCAAUGAUUUAUGGAAUUGUUGCUGAUCAUAGUGACAACAAUGUUAUUUAUGCUACAAUAUUUCCACAUAAUAUUGGCCACAUAGCUACCA